rnacentral:rRNA from 1 species
UACGUAGGGUGCGAGCGUUGUCCGGAAUUAUUGGGCGUAAAGGGCUCGUAGGCGGUUUGUCGCGUCGGGAGUGAAAUCCACUGGCUUAACUGGUGGCUUGCUUUCGAUACGGGCAGACUGGAGGUAUGCAGGGGAGAACGGAAUUCCUGGUGUAGCGGUGAAAUGCGCAGAUAUCAGGAAGAACACCCGUGGCGAAGGCGGCUCUCUGGGACGGUACUGACGCUGAGACGCGAAAGCGUGGGGAGCAAACAGG